rnacentral:rRNA from 1 species
CAUGCCAAUGGCACUGCCCGGUAGCUAAGUGCGGAAAAGAUAAGUGCUGAAAGCAUCUAAGCACGAAACUUGCCCCGAGAUGAGUUCUCCCUGACUCCUUGAGAGUCCUGAAGGGACGUUGAAGACUACGACGUUGAUAGGCCGGAUGUGUAAGCGCAGCGAUGCGUUGAGCUAACCGGUACUAAUGACCCGUGAGGCUUAACCUUA